ACAGUUUUGAAGCAUAGCAUCCUACCUGUUUUCCUUCUCUGAAGUGUUUGUCAACCACACAAAUGCUAACAAGUGAGCUUGGCCUGAAGGACUCCCCAGCAUCCUUGAGUGCAGCCUUUUGACCAAAUGGAAAGUCAGGCUACAGGGAGAACUAUGCUAACAGAUGCAGCUUGCAGACACAAGUGGACUUUGGCAUGGCAGAGCGCGGUAGCUGGCGUUUACCACUUCCGUCUGCCCUGUUCACAUUCUCCACCUUUCCCCCCGCAUAUACUGAUCUGCUUCAGCCCACUCAUGUGUGACCACCCGCCACUCUUCUCUCCUACUGCAGUGUCAGAUCCGCUGAUGGUUCUGCCUCAGCCAUCAAAGGGUCAGUUUUCACCUCCACUAAAUAUACUCCACAAGUUUUUGCUGAUGGGGGAAGUGGCUUCUAAGUUAUUCCAGCUUUGAAAAAUGCCUGGCUGUGGGGCACACAAAAGUCCCAUCGCUGCUCUGUCAUUGCAGCCAACACCUUAUGCGCUCCAACUCCCAGGAAGGGGAAACUGAGAAAAACAUCUUGAAAUGGUUGCCUUACAUACAUCUAGAAAGAAAAGGAGGGCAAGACUGGGAGGGAGAGAAGAAAGAGAAAGACCUGUGAGUAACAUCCAAAUCCCAAGCCUGAAAGAUUCUGGAUCUCCUGGUCAAAUUGGCAUGUCUUAUCAACUUACCUUCUCCAUGAGAGCUGCAAGAACCAUGUUCUUUCUUUAAAGCUCAAGUUAUCUCGGAUUCACCGUCGGUCCUGUGCCCCUGUGGUUCUCCAGCUACAGAAUUAUAUUAGCAAACAUCACCACAUAUUUUAGUCCUAGAUAUUGUUAUGGAGAUGCUGCACGGUAUUUGCGGUUUCCUGAUGUUCCUACUGGCCUGAUUAUGCACAGAUUCUCCAAGAACGCAUACGUGCUGCAGAUAUGUUACAAAUGACCUUGGAGGUCUCUCUAUUAAAGAAAACUCCCUAGAGAAUUGUUGGUAGACUGCAGCUCCCACCUAAUGGUUGGUGGGGAGGGCUGAUUUUGGGGGAGGGGGGAAUGUGUGUGGGUGGCUUCUGUUUGCAACAGAUACGUAACAAACGUAGAGGCAGAGUAUGAAAAUGUACCUCACAUGGAAAAUUAGGUAGAAUAGAAAUCUACAGUGAAAAUUUCUUUUCUCCAUUUACAGCGAGUCUAAGAAAUCUGUACCGCUAUGGAUCCCAGACACUGUAUAUCUGUUUUGCUGCUGCUUAUACUCAGUUGAAUUUUCUGUGUGGGGAUCUCUCAAAAAUAAAGUCUUGUGGAAUUUCUCAGCUGCUUUUAAAAACA